AUGCGAAGAUCCCAGCAGAGGGGUGAGUUACUCUUAUUAAUGAGGCCAUUCUAACUAUAUAUUUCAUAACCUUCGCAGAUUUAUUUGCCGAAUUUGUGUGAUUUGGUGUAUCUAGAACCCUCGGCUAUAUUCCA
rfam:Cicer arietinum chromosome Ca7, whole genome shotgun sequence.